rnacentral:rRNA from 1 species
GAUGAACGCUAGCGGCAGGCUUAACACAUGCAAGUCGAGGGGUAGAGGCUUUCGGGCCUUGAGACCGGCGCACGGGUGCGUAACGCGUAUGCAAUCUGCCUUCCACAGAGGGAUAGCCCAGAGAAAUUUGGAUUAAUACCUCAUAGUAUUACAGGAUGGCAUCAUCCGGUAAUUAAAGUCACAACGGUGGAAGAUGAGCAUGCGUCCCAUUAGCUAGUUGGUAAGGUAACGGCUUACCAAGGCGACGAUAGGUUGGGGUCCUGAGCGGGAGAUCCCCCAGACUGGUACUGGAACACGGACCAGACUCCUGCGGGAGGCAGCAGUGAGGAAUAUUGGUCAAUGGGCGCAAGACUGAACCGGCGAUGCCGCGUGCAGGAUGACGGUCCUAUGGAUUGUAAACUGCUUUUGUACGGGAAGAAACACUGAUUCGUGAAUCAGCCUGACGGUACCGUAAGAAUAAGGAUCGGCUAACUCCGUGCCAGCCGCCGCGGUAAUAC